UUUAGGUCUUUGAUUCAAAAGGAUAUUUCUUUUUUAAUUUUUUCUCCAACACAGAGAUAUUUUGAUUCACAUCCUUUGAAGGCUUUGCUUUCAGAAGAACUGCCCAGAUAAAAACCAACCAUCCCUCUCACGGACGAGUGUGGAAAAAGAAGGAAUUUAGGAAAAAUAAGCGUGUGAACCUCUUGGAACCCCAAUCAGAUCCUGAGACCAGCAGUCAACCCUCCUGCCUUUUACUGCUCCUGUCCUUUUUCACCAUGUGGCUUCCCACUGUCAAUUCAGUUUCAGAACCUAGGGAAGAACCCAGGGAAGAAACUGCCAUGGGGUUGAUUCUGAAGGAUGAUGAACAAAAAGGAGUUGCCAGGUAAGGAGAGGAGUGGAAACUUUAUUCACUGAGGAUAUGGGUUCUCUUAGUUGGCAGAACACUUGUCCGUACUUGGAAGGAGGAGAACAUCUUUCUUUGAUUUAUGAACAUGAAAG
rnacentral:lncRNA from 1 species